GUCCUGCAGGGGGCACUAAACCUCAGAUAGCAGUAAGCAAUUCGAUUCUGUGACAACAGGAAGCAGAACUUUGUAGUCAAUAGAGCUGCUGAGAUCAGAAUGGUUUCACAUUGUGACGGAGUGAACCCUUCUCACUCUCUGUGUUCAGACAGAAGCUGGACAGGGUGAGAAGAAAGAAGGAAUUAACGCCCACCCUCACCUAGUUACCUCACCUGUGGAAUUAAGUGGUGUUCUCAUGGCAACAGUUUUCCAAAACUUCACAGUCUUUCUGGGUGUAAGUCAGCAUUGCUGCUGCAGUUGAUGAACCGGAAAGCCGGGGAAAGCAAGCUCGACCUUUCUGUGCCCCCUGCAUCCUUUGAAAUGCUUCGGAAUCAUUGUCUUUGAAGGGUUUGUUUGUGCAGAGAGAAAGAAACGGAGAGCAUGGGGACGGUUUCAUAUAUUGUCAUGUCUGAUUUAUCAAACCCC
rnacentral:lncRNA from 1 species